CGUGAGUUGGUCGAAAAGACCGGCAUUCCGAUCACGAUGGGGCUCGGCAGCUUUCCAGGCGACGAUCCGCUGAGCUUGGACAUGCUGGGGAUGCACGGAACGGUUUACGCCAACUAUGCGGUGCAAAACUGCGACUUGCUG
rnacentral:tRNA from 1 species